rnacentral:rRNA from 1 species
AGCGAACGCUGGCGGCAUGCCUAACACGUGCAAGUCGAACGAGACCUUCGGGUCUAGUGGCGCACGGGUGCGUAACGCGUGGGAAUCUGCCCUUGGGUGCGGAAUAACAGUUAGAAAUGACUGCUAAUACCGCAUAAUGACUCCGGUCCAAAGAUUUAUCGCCCAGGGAUGAGCCCGCGUCGGAUUAGCUAGUUGGUAGGGUAAAAGCCUACCAAGGCAACGAUCCGUAGCUGGUCUGAGAGGAUGAUCAGCCACACUGGGACUGAGACACGGCCCAGACUCCUACGGGAGGCAGCAGUGGGGAAUAUUGGACAAUGGGCGAAAGCCUGAUCCAGCAAUGCCGCGUGAGUGAUGAAGGCCUUAGGGUUGUAAAGCUCUUUUACCCGGGAUGAUAAUGACAGUACCGGAAGAAUAAGGACCGGCUAACUACGUGCCAGCCGCCGCGGUAAAAC